ACCCAACAAAACAAAUCAACACCGUUUUCAUUUAUUUUCAUUUCAUCUUUCAAAUUCAGACACCGCUUAAUCCCAAAACACAUAGAUCUAAAAAAAAGAAGAAGCUCUUUCUCAAAGACAACAAUGCCUCCCACUGAAGGAGACUUAGAUCUUAGGCCAUCUUCUCAUUCUGCUUUCACAACCGGAGAACACACAUUUGCCGAUGUAGGUAAUUUGGAGCAUUGCGCCAAGUAUUUGAAUCAAUCGCUUGUUACAUUUGGUUUUCCGGCUUCACUUGAUCUAUUUGCAAACGAUCCUGUUUCUAUAGCGAGGACUUGCAAUUGUAUAUACUUUUUGCUUCAGCAGAGACAGCGUGAUGUCGAAUUUAGAGAGUCUGCUAAUGAACAAAGACAACGACUGUUAUCCGAUAUAUCGAGACUGGAGGCCAAAGUUGAGAGGCUUGACGGACAAAUACAAGCCAAAGAUAGAGAGAUAGCGACAAUAACCAGAACGGAAGCUAAAAACAAAGCAGCUCUUAAGGCUCAAAUUGAGAAGCUGCAACUGGAGAGGGAUGAAUUUCAGAAGAUGGUUAUUGGUAAUCAGCAAGUUAGGACUCAACAAAUACAUGAGAUGAAGAAGAAGGAAAAGGAAUACAUAAAGUUGCAGGAGAGACUAAACCAAGUCUUGAUGGAGAAGAAGAAAGAAUCUAGGUCGGGCAUGGAGAUAAUGAAUUUGCUUCAGAAGGAAGGGAGGCCACGUGGAACAUGGAAUGGGAAGAAAACUGACAAUGAUUUUUAUAAAAAGAUUGUGGACGCUUAUGAGGUGAAAAAUCAAGAGCUGAUAGCAGAAAAUGCUGAUUUAAGGGCAUUAUUGAGAUCAAUGCAGGUGGAUAUGCGUGAUUUCUUAAAUGCUCCUAAUGGACUACCAAAUCAAUCUCCCACUCCCAGUGAAAGAGCAGAAAGUAAUCCUUCACAAUCUCCGCUGGUUGGGAGAACGGAUGUAUUUGAUCUUCCUUUUCACAUGGCCCGAGAUCAAAUUGAAGAGAGUCUUAGAGCCAAGAUGACUUCUAUAAAGGAGCGCAUGGGCCAAUUGCAAGAUGCUCAGAAAGAGGCAGAAGUCACUUCUGAAGCUACUGAGAGGGAACUUGAGCUUGAAGCUCAACUUGUUGAAGCAAGGAGCAUAAUACAGGAGCAGGCAUCUAUAAUGUCUAAACAUCUUGCAAAGUCUGACAGGCCAAGGGAAUCGGCACCGGCUGAGGGGUAGUGCUAGACUGGGAGCACAUAUUGGUGUAGAAAUGGUGGUGGUGAUGAUGAUGGCAUUUAGCAUCAACCUUUUGUGAGGGAGUGUGUAACUAACAUAGCCGAGGGUACUCAAGUUUAAUGCUUGUCUUGGCUCGGUAGUGGAGCAUGCAUGGACAGCAUGCGUUUAGCCCAUGUAACUAAUCUUGCUUGUUCAUUCUGCACUGCUCCCCUCCCUUCCCCCUAGUUCAUGUAACAGGCCCUCGUAUGGUCGAAUGUCAUUGUUAUUAGUAUGAUAUUGUAAUUAGUGGUAUUGUAUUCUUGGAACUGCUUGUAGAAGAAAAUAGUUAUUAUGUCUUGGGAAUCAAUCAAACUUGCAUAGCAUUUAAGACUGAUAGCUAGGAGGAUUUUUUUUGAGUUAGUAAUUAUAAAGUAUGAUUCGGUACA